rnacentral:misc_RNA from 1 species
CCCACUAAAUCCACCGCCGCUUUGGCUGCUGCUGCCACAUCCUCCUCCAUCUCCACCACCGCACCACUGCCUACCACAGUCAUCAAUACUCUCCUCCACUAUGCUUCAAGAUCCAAUGACAGUUUCCACAUGUCCUACUCCGAAAUUAAACCCAUAUCUGAUGUCCUUAGAAAGUGUUCUUCUCCUUGUAACUUUCUUGUUUUUGGCCUAACACAUGAAACCCUUCUCUGGAAGGCCCUCAACCACAAUGGCCGCACAGUUUUCAUCGAUGAAAACAGAUACUACGCUGCCUAUUUCGAAGAGCUACACCC